rnacentral:rRNA from 1 species
GAUGAACGCUGGCGGCGUGCCUAAUACAUGCAAGUCGAGCGAACGGACGAGAAGCUUGCUUCUCUGAUGUUAGCGGCGGACGGGUGAGUAACACGUGGAUAACCUACCUAUAAGACUGGGAUAACUUCGGGAAACCGGAGCUAAUACCGGAUAAUAUUUUGAACCGCAUGGUUCAAAAGUGAAAGACGGUCUUGCUGUCACUUAUAGAUGGAUCCGCGCUGCAUUAGCUAGUUGGUAAGGUAACGGCUUACCAAGGCAACGAUGCAUAGCCGACCUGAGAGGGUGAUCGGCCACACUGGAACUGAGACACGGUCCAGACUCCUACGGGAGGCAGCAGUAGGGAAUCUUCCGCAAUGGGCGAAAGCCUGACGGAGCAACGCCGCGUGAGUGAUGAAGGUCUUCGGAUCGUAAAACUCUGUUAUUAGGGAAGAACAUAUGUGUAAGUAACUGUGCACAUCUUGACGGUACCUAAUCAGAAAGCCACGGCUAACUACGUGCCAGCAGCCGCGGUAAUACGUAGGUGGCAAGCGUUAUCCGGAAUUAUUGGGCGUAAAGCGCGCGUAGGCGGUUUUUUAAGUCUGAUGUAAAACCCCACGGCUCAACCCGUGGAGGGUCAUUGGAAACUGGAAAACUUGAGUGCAGAAGAGGAAAGUGGAAUUUCCAUGUGUAGCGGUGAAAUGCGCAGAGAUAUGGAGGACACCCAGUGGCGAAGGCGACUUUCUGGUCUGUAACUGACGCUGAUGUGCGAAAGCGUGGGGAUCAAACAGGAUUAGAUACCCUGGUAGUCCACGCCGUAAACGAUGAGUGCUAAGUGUUAGGGGGUUUCCGCCCCUUAGCGCUGCAGCUAACGCAUUAAGCACUCCGCCUGGGGAGUACGACCGCAAGGUUGAAACUCAAAGGAAUUGACGGGGACCCGCACAAGCGGUGGAGCAUGUGGUUUAAUUCGAAGCAACGCGAAGAACCUUACCAAAUCUUGACAUCCUUUGACAACUCUAGAGAUAGAGCCUUCCCCUUCGGGGGACAAAGUGACAGGUGGUGCAUGGUUGUCGUCAGCUCGUGUCGUGAGAUGUUGGGUUAAGUCCCGCAACGAGCGCAACCCUUAAGCUUAGUUGCCAUCAUUAAGUUGGGCACUCUAAGUUGACUGCCGGUGACAAACCGGAGGAAGGUGGGGAUGACGUCAAAUCAUCAUGCCCCUUAUGAUUUGGGCUACACACGUGCUACAAUGGACAAUACAGAGGGCAGCGAAACCGCGAGGUCAAGCAAAUCCCAUAAAGUUGUUCUCAGUUCGGAUUGUAGUCUGCAACUCGACUACAUGAAGCUGGAAUCGCUAGUAAUCGUAGAUCAGCAUGCUACGGUGAAUACGUUCCCGGGUCU